rnacentral:rRNA from 1 species
GAUGAACGCUGACAGAAUGCUUAACACAUGCAAGUCUACUUGAUUCUACUUCGGUAGUUGAUGGUGGCGGACGGGUGAGUAACGCGUAAAGAAUCUGCCCUUUAGUUUGGGAUAACCUUUGGAAACGGAGGCUAAUACCGGAUAUUAUGGAGACGUCGCAUGACGACUUCAUGAAAGCUAUAUGCGCUAGAGGAGGACUUUGCGUCCCAUUAGUUAGUUGGUGAGGUAAUGGCUCAACAAGACCGCGAUGGGUAGCCGGCCUGAGAGGGUGAUCGGCCACAAGGGAACUGAGACACGGUCCUUACUCCUACGGGAGGCAGCAGUGGGGAAUAUUGGACAAUGGGCCACAAGCCUGAUCCAGCAAUUCUGUGUGCACGAUGAAGGUCUUCGGAUUGUAAAGUGCUUUCAGUAGGGAAGAAAAAAAUGACGGUACCUACAGAAGAAGCGACGGCUAAAUAUGUGCCAGCCGCCGCCGUAA